UACGGAGGAUGCGAGCGUUAUCCGGAUUUACUGGGGUUAAAGGGUGCGCAGGCGGUUGUUUAAGUCAGGGGUGAAAGCCCUAUGCUCAACAUAGGGAUUGCCUUUGAUACUGAACGGCUAGAGUGAAGAUGGAGUGGGUGGAAUGUGUUGUGUAGCGGUGAAAUGCAUAGAUAUAACACAGAACACCGAUCGCGAAGGCAGCUCACUAAUUUUCAACUGACGCUCAUGCACGAAAGCGUGGGGAUCAAACAGG
rnacentral:rRNA from 1 species